UCAUGCCUAUUUGGAGUAGCCGCGAUGAAUAUACUCAUGUUGAGGAGAAGUACCAGCCACAAAAAUCAAUGUAAUUGAUUGAUGAAUUGGAUGCUUCUCUGGAAAUAAUUGAUCAAGGGCAAGCCAAGGAUGUGGAUAGUCCUUACUACUUUAAUAAUACUCCAUUUGAAAGUCCAAGGAAAUACUUCAAUUUAAUUCAAAUUUCAGACUCAUUUUGUUAUCUUUAGAUUAAUGCAACAUAAAUAUCUACUUAAUGCAUAAUAUAUAUAAUUAGGGGUGAACUUGUGAGUGGGCACAUGAGUGGAACUCAAACAAACAAUCAUAUGUAGACAAGAGAUGUGUUUGUCUUUUAUUCCCAUGUUUGAACUAGUAUAGUUCGGGUUCUUACAUGAUAGUGCAUGUCACUUUAUUUUUUCACCGCUACAACGACCAAACCAUGGACUAAGAAAACGGUGUAUCAUAUAUCUACUACUAGAGUUCUUCUAUUCUCAGUUAGUACCGAAGAUGCCAACUGGAGCAAUGGUGCAAUAUGGAGGGAUAUAGACAUUGCACAUUGCAGGUAGCGUCUCUAGCGCUAGGUUCCUUAUUUCCUCAAACUGGGGCAGUUGUUGAGGCUGGACAGAGCCCUGGGCCUGUGGGUUUUGCUGAGAUGGCUGGAAGGAGCCCUGGCCUGAUGGAUAUUGUUGUUGAGACUGUUGGAAGCAGACCUGGCUCAACGGUUGUUGUUGUUGUUGUUGUUGUUGUUGUUGUUGUUGUUGUUGUUGAUGCAGAAUAAUAGCAUGAACAACAUUGUGGAUGGCUUGGCACCGCGACUGCUCGGGGAUCUGCCAUAGCUGCUGACAACACAAUUGUUGCACCAGCUGGUAAGUACUUUGUUGCAAAACUUGUGAGCUUCCAUGCGCUAUGCUGUGUUGUUGCAAUACAACAUCCCUGCAUGGAAUCAGUUGUUGUUGCAAAAUUUGUUGAAGGAUCUGUUGUUGUUGUUGUUGUUGCUGCUGCUGCUGCUGCUGCUGCUGCGAAAUUGGUUGUUGUGGUUGCGAAUACUGUGGUUGCGGUUGUGGAUAUGAUUGUUGUGGUCGAAAUGGUUGCGGCUGCGGAUAUGGUAGUUGCGGCUGCGGAUAUGGUAGUUGCGGCUGCGGAAAUGGUUGCAGCUGCAUAUAUGGUUGUUGUGAUGGAAAUGGUUGCAGCUGCGGAUAUGGCUGUUGUGGUGGAAAUGGUUGUUGCUGCCCUGGAAAUUGUUGUUGUUGUACCAAUGGAACUUGCUUUUGUGGUUGUUGCUGAGAUGGAUUUUGUGGCUGCAAUUGUGGCACUGGAACUCUAACUGCAAUUGUGGCGGUGGUUGCUACAAUAGCACGGAGGGCAAGGAUGAGAAAGGUCUUCAUGGUGGAUUUGUAUUGAGCACUGCUUGCUUGGCUUAAAUGAUGCGCUCUACUUAUGAGAAUGAUGGAUGAGGAAGGAUGAUCAUCAUGCUACGGGCCUAUUUAUAGCUGCCAUGGAAUGAUCUCUUUCACAAUUGGCAUUUGCUUGUGUGGAAGUGCUUGGAUGCUUCUCAAAAUCAUAAUUUGGUAUGUUGUGUUCGGUGGCACUACUUACAAGUGUAUUCUUGAACUGGUCAUUAAAGUUCCUUGUUGUUG
rnacentral:lncRNA from 1 species